UCACGCUAUCAGAUGAGCCUAGGUCGGAUUAGCUUAGUUGGUGAGGUAAUGGCUUCACCAAGGCUACGAUCCGUAACUUGGUCUGAGAGGAUGAUCAGUCACACUGGAACUGAGACACGGUCCAGACUCCUACGGGAGGCAGCAAGUGGGGAAUAUUGGACAAUGGGCGAAAGCCUUGAUCCAGCCAUGCCGCGUGUGUGAAGAAGGUCUUCGGAUUGUAAAGCACUUUAAGUUGGGAGGAAGGGUACUUACCUAAUACGUGAGUAUUUUGACGUUACCGACAGAAUAAGCACCGGCUAACUCUGUGCCAGCAGCCGCGGUAAUACAGAGGGUGCAAGCGUUAAUCGGAAUUACUGGGCGUAAAGCGCGCGUAGGUGGUUUGUUAAGUUGGAUGUGAAAGCCCCGGGCUCAACCUGGGAACUGCAUCCAAAACUGGCAAGCUAGAGUAUGGUAGAGGGUGGUGGAAGUUUCCUGUGUAGCGGUGAAAUGCGUAGAUAGUAGGAAGGAACACCAGUGGCGAAGGCGACCACC
rnacentral:rRNA from 1 species